rnacentral:rRNA from 1 species
GACGAACUUUGGCGGCGUGCUUAACGCAUGCAAGUCGAACGGAAAGGCCCUGCUUUUGUGGGGUGCUCGAGUGGCGAACGGGUGAGUAACACGUGAGUAACCUGCCCUUGACUUUGGGAUAACUUCAGGAAACUGGGGCUAAUACCGGAUAGGAGCUCCUGCUGCAUGGUGGGGGUUGGAAAGUUUCGGCGGUUGGGGAUGGACUCGCGGCUUAUCAGCUUGUUGGUGGGGUAGUGGCUUACCAAGGCUUUGACGGGUAGCCGGCCUGAGAGGGUGACCGGCCACAUUGGGACUGAGAUACGGCCCAGACUCCUACGGGAGGCAGCAGUGGGGAAUAUUGCACAAUGGGCGGAAGCCUGAUGCAGCAACGCCGCGUGCGGGAUGACGGCCUUCGGGUUGUAAACCGCUUUCGCCUGUGACGAAGCGUGAGUGACGGUAAUGGGUAAAGAAGCACCGGCUAACUACGUGCCAGCAGCCGCGGUGAUACGUAGGGUGCGAGCGUUGUCCGGAUUUAUUGGGCGUAAAGGGCUCGUAGGUGAUUGAUCGCGUCGGAAGUGUAAUCUUGGGGCUUAACCCUGAGCGUGCUUUCGAUACGGGUUGACUUGAGGAAGGUAGGGGAGAAUGGAAUUCCUGGUGGAGCGGUGGAAUGCGCAGAUAUCAGGAGGAACACCAGUGGCGAAGGCGGUUCUCUGGGCCUUUCCUGACGCUGAGGAGCGAAAGCGUGGGGAGCGAACAGGCUUAGAUACCCUGGUAGUCCACGCUGUAAACGGUGGGUACUAGGUGUGGGGUCCAUUCCACGGGUUCCGUGCCGUAGCUAACGCUUUAAGUACCCCGCCUGGGGAGUACGGCCGCAAGGCUAAAACUCAAAGGAAUUGACGGGGCCCCGCACAAGCGGCGGAGCAUGCGGAUUAAUUCGAUGCAACGCGUAGAACCUUACCUGGGUUUGACAUGGAUCGGGAGUGCUCAGAGAUGGGUGUGCCUCUUUUGGGGUCGGUUCACAGGUGGUGCAUGGCUGUCGUCAGCUCGUGUCGUGAGAUGUUGGGUUAAGUCCCGCAACGAGCGCAACCCUUGUUCACUGUUGCCAGCACGUUAUGGUGGGGACUCAGUGGAGACCGCCGGGGUCAACUCGGAGGAAGGUGGGGAUGACGUCAAGUCAUCAUGCCCCUUAUGUCCAGGGCUUCACGCAUGCUACAAUGGCUGGUACAGAGAGUGGCGAGCCUGUGAGGGUGAGCGAAUCUCGGAAAGCCGGUCUCAGUUCGGAUUGGGGUCUGCAACUCGACCUCAUGAAGUCGGAGUCGCUAGUAAUCGCAGAUCAGCAACGCUGCGGUGAAUACGUUCCCCGGGCU